UUUUUAAGAUCAGGAUUCAAAGUGGGAGGACUGUAUGUCAGAACUGUGAAGGAAUCAAAGGUACUGGCUCCCAAUUGUUCAUAUGGAUGUAGUCAGGGAAUGGUUCCAGGAGAAAAACCAGCUCUGCUAUCCUAUCCAGCAAGUGCAAAGUGGUGAUUAAAUAGGUCUGGGGUAGAAGGGUUUGACAGAGCAAGUCGACCCACAAGCUGCAAUACUCAAGAAGAACUGGUACUGCUCCAUUCCUGCUAUACAUCAGUGCAACAAGACUUCUGCCUGAGACUUCCCGCUCACAUGUGGGUUGUCCUGGCAGUAGAACUUGCCCAGUUUCAUUCUGCAAGACACUGAUAACAUUUGGAAACAAGAGACAAGACACAUGCAAAACCCAUCUGAAAACACAGAUGGUAAUUUCUCUAGCUGCGAGAAGAAAUUGGCACUAGGAAUGCCUCCUGCUCAGGUCAGACACAGAGUAAUCAUCUUUGAGAUAAAGAAUCUGCAGUGUGAUGAGAACAAAAGAAGCCUUGUAAAUCUUUUCAACAAGCAAGUUAAUUAACAAGAUAUGGCUACGGUCAGCAUGAAUUUACCUGCUUGGCUUCCUCACUCCCUCCACUUAUGGCACUGGUCUGUAAAAAGGUCUUUCUUUACAGCAGAGCUCCAGGCAAAAGCUGAGCUAAGCUCUGUUAAGAAGAGAGUGAUGGCUCAGAAACUCUGGGACCUGAGUCAGCAAGCUGAAGAAAAGAACAGUCAGACUGCUCCUACCCAGAGCAAAUGCUUCCCUCCUGACAAAAACAACAGCAAAAAAUCAGACCUAACUCUAAGCUUUGUUUCUUUUGAACCCCAAAGUCUGAGCUAAUGCAGUUCCAGGCUCCAAUUCUCAAGCUGUGUUGGAAAUAAACAACCAGUUUCAUGAGGAUUUUCUCAAUUGUCUUCUCCCCCCAGCUGCUAUCUUAAGCACACUUGCAUUAAGCUUGUCUGCCCACCUUGUUAUUGCUGCAGGGAGAGA